CUCCACCGGAAAAAGAAGAGUGGCGAACGGGUGAGUAACACGUGGGUAACCUGCCCAUCAGAAGGGGAUAACACUUGGAAACAGGUGCUAAUACCGUAUAACAAUCGAAACCGCAUGGUUUUGAUUUGAAAGGCGCUUUCGGGUGUCGCUGAUGGAUGGACCCGCGGUGCAUUAGCUAGUUGGUGAGGUAACGGCUCACCAAGGCCACGAUGCAUAGCCGACCUGAGAGGGUGAUCGGCCACAUUGGGACUGAGACACGGCCCAAACUCCUACGGGAGGCAGCAGUAGGGAAUCUUCGGCAAUGGACGAAAGUCUGACCGAGCAACGCCGCGUGAGUGAAGAAGGUUUUCGGAUCGUAAAACUCUGUUGUUAGAGAAGAACAAGGAUGAGAGUAACUGUUCAUCCCUUGACGGUAUCUAACCAGAAAGCCACGGCUAACUACGUGCCAGCAGCCGCGGUAAUACGUAGGUGGCAAGCGUUGUCCGGAUUUAUUGGGCGUAAAGCGAGCGCAGGCGGUUUCUUAAGUCUGAUGUGAAAGCCCCCGGCUCAACCGGGGAGGGUCAUUGGAAACUGGGAGACUUGAGUGCAGAAGAGGAGAGUGGAAUUCCAUGUGUAGCGGUGAAAUGCGUAGAUAUAUGGAGGAACACCAGUGGCGAAGGCGGCUCUCUGGUCUGUAACUGACGCUGAGGCUCGAAAGCGUGGGGAGCAAACAGGAUUAGAUACCCUGGUAGUCCACGCCGUAAACGAUGAGUGCUAAGUGUUGGAGGGUUUCCGCCCUUCAGUGCUGCAGCUAACGCAUUAAGCACUCCGCCUGGGGAGUACGACCGCAAGGUUGAAACUCAAAGGAAUUGACGGGGGCCCGCACAAGCGGUGGAGCAUGUGGUUUAAUUCGAAGCAACGCGAAGAACCUUACCAGGUCUUGACAUCCUUUGACCACUCUAGAGAUAGAGCUUCCCCUUCGGGGGCAAAGUGACAGGUGGUGCAUGGUUGUCGUCAGCUCGUGUCGUGAGAUGUUGGGUUAAGUCCCGCAACGAGCGCAACCCUUAUUGUUAGUUGCCAUCAUUCAGUUGGGCACUCUAGCAAGACUGCCGGUGACAAACCGGAGGAAGGUGGGGAUGACGUCAAAUCAUCAUGCCCCUUAUGACCUGGGCUACACACGUGCUACAAUGGGAAGUACAACGAGUCGCGAAGUCGCGAGGCUAAGCUAAUCUCUUAAAGCUUCUCUCAGUUCGGAUUGUAGGCUGCAACUCGCCUACAUGAAGCCGGAAUCGCUAGUAAUCGCGGAUCAGCACGCCGCGGUGAAUACGUUCCCGGGCCUUGUACACACCGCCCGUCACACCACGAGAGUUUGUAACACCCGAAGUCGGUGAGGUAACCUUUGGAGCCAGC
rnacentral:rRNA from 1 species